rnacentral:rRNA from 1 species
AGAGUUUGAUCCUGGCUCAGGAUGAACGCUAGCGGUAGGCCUAACACAUGCAAGUCGAACGGUAACAUAAGAGCUUGCUCUUGAUGACGAGUGGCGAACGGGUGCGUAACACGUAUACAAUCUACCUUUAACUGAGGAAUAGCCCAGAGAAAUUUGGAUUAAUACCUCAUAGUAUUAUUUUAAGGCAUCUUAUUAUAAUUAAAACUCCGGUGGUUAAAGAUGAGUAUGCGUUCUAUUAGUUUGUUGGUGAGGUAACGGCUUACCAAGACUACGAUAGAUAGGGGGCCUGAGAGGGUGAUCCCCCACACUGGUACUGAGACACGGACCAGACUCCUACGGGAGGCAGCAGUGAGGAAUAUUGCGCAAUGGAGGAAACUCUGACGCAGCCAUACCGCGUGUAGGAAGAAUGUCCUAUGGAUUGUAAACUACUUUUAUACAAGAAGAAACCCCAGUACGUGUACUGGGCUGACGGUAUUGUACGAAUAAGCACCGGCUAACUCCGUGCCAGCAGCCGCGGUAAUACGGAGGGUGCAAGCGUUAUCCGGAUUUAUUGGGUUUAAAGGGUCCGCAGGCGGGAUUCUAAGUCAGUGGUGAAAGCCUACAGCUCAACUGUAGAACUGCCAUUGAUACUGGAAUUCUUGAGUGUGGUUGAAGUAGACGGAAUAUGUCAUGUAGCGGUGAAAUGCAUAGAUAUGACAUAGAACACCAAUUGCGUAGGCAGUUUACUAAACCAUUACUGACGCUCAUGGACGAAAGUGUGGGGAGCGAACAGGAUUAGAUACCCUGGUAGUCCACACCGUAAACUAUGAUCACUAGAUGUUGGCGAUANACAGUCAGUGUCUUAGAGAAAUCGUUAAG